GGGGACGUUACGGAUUCGACAGGGGUCCCCGAGCUUAUGGAAGCGUGUCGGAGGGUUGUCUUCGUCAUCAACACAACAGUUAUAAUAACUGGCAAACAAGAUAAUUUAGCAGUAGCUGCGUAAUAGCACUCUGCAUCACCUAACCGCAUCGCCUAUGUGCCGUUAACGUGAUUCAACUUAAGUAGGAUACGCUCGUCACUGCCGUUUGAAGUCUGACGAGAAGAGAUUAAUCAAGCUAGCAUUGUCUUUGGGUGUCAGUCCCCUGAGACAACGCGAAACCUUAACGACUAGACUACACACGUAGAAACAUUUGUAUCAGGAUCUCUGGACGCGGGUUCAACUCCCGCCGUCUCCAUAU
rnacentral:tmRNA from 1 species